UACAGAGGGUGCGAGCGUUGUCCGGAAUCACUGGGCGUAAAGGGCGCGUAGGUGGCGACCCAAGUCGAUGGUGAAAGCUCGCCGCUCAACGGCGAGUCGGCCACCGAUACUGGGUUGCUGGAGCACUGUAGAGGCAGAUGGAAUUCCGGGUGUAGCGGUGGAAUGCGUGAGAGAUCCGGAAGAACACCGGUGGCGAAGGCGGUCUGCUGGGCAGUUGCUGACACUGAGGCGCGGACAGCGUGGGGAG
rnacentral:rRNA from 1 species